CGGUGAAUGUGUUCCUGAGCCUUGUACACACCGCCCGUCAAGCCACGGAAAUCGGGGGCGUCCGAAGUCGGCUUCACCGCCGCCGAAGACGAAACCGGUAACUGGGACU
rnacentral:rRNA from 1 species